CCCCUCUCACGGUCACACCUGGAGAGUUUUCAGUACUCUACCAGUCUUGACUAUGAGAGGGAGAGUCAAGCAGAAGCAUUUCCAUUCCAUUCCUAGCUUGGUCAGUGACUAGCAAGUGGAAAGCAAUCUGUUACAAGU